AUAUUGCACAAUGGAGGGAACUCUGAUGCAGCGACGCCGCGUGAGUGAAGAAGGUCUUCGGAUCGUAAAACUCUGUCCUUGGUGACGAAAAAAAUGACGGUAGCCAAGGAGGAAGCCCCGGCUAACUACGUGCCAGCAGCCGCGGUAAUACGUAGGGGGCGAGCGUUGUCCGGAUUUACUGGGCGUAAAGGGUGAGUAGGCGGUUAUAUAUGUCAGGUGUAAAAAGCUAUGGCUUAACCAUAGUAAGCACUUGAAACUGUAUGACUUGAGUGCAGGAGAGGUAAGCGGAAUUCCUAGUGUAGCGGUGAAAUGCGUAGAUAUUAGGAGGAACACCGGUGGCGAAGGCGGCUUACUGGACUGUAACUGACGCUGAGUCACGAAAGCGUGGGUAGCAAACAGG
rnacentral:rRNA from 1 species